GUAGGAGGCAAGCGUUGUCCGGAAUCACUGGGUGUAAAGGGUGCGCAGGCGGGAAGGUAAGUCAAUGGUGAAAUCUCACAGCUUAACUGUGAAACUGCCAUUGAUACUGCUUUUCUUGAGUUUGGGAGAGGGUGGUGGAAUUCUUGGUGUAGCGGUGAAAUGCGUAGAUAUCAAGAAGAACACCAGUGGCGAAGGCGGCCACCUGGCCCAUAACUGACGCUCAUGCACGAAAGCGUGGGGAUCAAACAGGAUUAGAUACCCUGGUAGUCCACGCCCUAAACGAUGAGAACUUGAUGUUGGUCCCGCAAGGGAUCAGUGUCGGAGAUAACUCGUUAAGUUCUCCACCUGGGAAGUACGCUCGCAAGGGUG
rnacentral:rRNA from 1 species